CUCUGCAAGCUCACAUAAUAGUCAACUGCAGCCAAUAGAGAAGCCUUGCCUUCAACUUCAACCAGUUCCUCCGCAGAGGCCAGGCUCUUCUUGUCUUCCAUCAUGGGGAAUAAUUGCUUCAAGGUAGAGAUCCUUGCUUCUCCACCAUAAACCUUGUGUGAAGCAAGAUAGAGACGAGUACUAUUGCUGAAACCUAAAGCUGCUAGCAAUAAUCCAAUCUCUUCAGGUGUCAAUGGGC
rnacentral:misc_RNA from 1 species